UGUCAAGAGUCUCAGCGCCAAGCCCCGGCUGGCUGAGCGGCAACCCUCCACCGCGGUGGGGUGCCCCGGGUGAGGACAAGGUCGAACCACAAAGGCUCGACAAGCGCGGGGC
rnacentral:ncRNA from 1 species